UACAGAGGUCUCAAGCGUUGUUCGGAAUCACUGGGCGUAAAGGGCGCGUAGGCGGUCAGCACAAGUCAGUUGUGAAAUCUCCGGGCUUAACUCGGAAAGGUCAACUGAUACUGUGCGACUAGAGUGCAGAAGGGGCAACUGGAAUUCUCGGUGUAGCGGUGAAAUGCGUAGAUAUCGAGAGGAACACCUGCGGCGAAGGCGGGUUGCUGGGCUGACACUGACGCUGAUGCGCGAAAGCCAGGGGAGCGAACGGG
rnacentral:rRNA from 1 species